UCAUUGUAUUUGAGUCCUUCCUGGCUGGAUUGUCAAAAGAGAAUGCUUCCCGAAGACAGGAAAGCAGUGAUAUGAAGAAAGAUUUUUAAUGUGCAAUGUUUUUUAGAAGAUCUAUAAGAAGGAUGCGAUAUAAAUUACAAUAAGAAG